AACGAACGCUGGCGGCAUGCCUAACACAUGCAAGUCGAACGAGACCUUCGGGUCUAGUGGCGCACGGGUGCGUAACGCGUGGGAACCUGCCUUUAGGUUCGGAAUAACUCAGAGAAAUUUGAGCUAAUACCGGAUAAUGUCUUCGGACCAAAAGAUUUAUCGCCUUUAGAUGGGCCCGCGUAAGAUUAGCUAGUUGGUGGGGUAAAGGCCUACCAAGGCGACGAUCUUUAGCUGGUCUGAGAGGAUGAUCAGCCACGCUGGGACUGAGACACGGCCCAGACUCCUACGGGAGGCAGCAGUGGGGAAUAUUGGACAAUGGGCGAAAGCCUGAUCCAGCAAUGCCGCGUGAGUGAUGAAGGCCUUAGGGUUGUAAAAGACUCUUUCACCGGUCGAAGAUAAUGACGGUAGCCGGAGAAGAAGCCCGGCUAAC
rnacentral:rRNA from 1 species